rnacentral:rRNA from 1 species
UACGUAGGGUGCGAGCGUUGUCCGGAAUUAUUGGGCGUAAAGAGCUUGUAGGCGGUCUGUCGCGUCUGCUGUGAAAAUCCGGGGCUCAACCCCGGACUUGCAGUGGGUACGGGCAGACUAGAGUGUGGUAGGGGAGACUGGAAUUCCUGGUGUAGCGGUGAAAUGCGCAGAUAUCAGGAGGAACACCGAUGGCGAAGGCAGGUCUCUGGGCCA